AUACGGAGGGUGCUAGCGUUAUUCGGAUUUACUGGGCGUAAAGGGCGCGUAGGCGGCUUGAUAAGUCAGAUGUGAAAACCCGGGGCUUAACCCCGGAAGUGCAUUUGAAACUAUUAGGCUUGAGUAUGGGAGAGGGAAGUGGAAUUCCUGGUGUAGCGGUGAAAUGCGUAGAUAUCAGGAGGAACACCGGUGGCGAAGGCGACUUCCUGGACCAAUACUGACGCUGAGGCGCGAAGGCGUGGGGAGCAAACAGGAUUAGAAACCCCAGUAGUCC
rnacentral:rRNA from 1 species